UCGGUCAUAUAACUUAUUAAAAAAAAAAAAAAAAUCUCGGACAUAUAAUUUCGCUUCUCAUAUCACUCUCAGACUUCCUCUCAUACGUGUUCUCUGGCAUUUUUCUUCGCCGUCAAAGAUUGCACCACGCAGUUUCUUGCAAAUAGCAUCUUUCUGCGUAGCGUACAGAAAACAUCUGAAGUGCAGUUGGUUUAAAAGAGCAACGGAGAUAACACGGCGUUUCUAUGGACCAAGACAAAGCGAUUGAACUUCAAACUUUAUUUGACAAAUUGAAGAGAGAUGAAGUGUCCAAACAUCAAUUUGUACGGCUUAUGAAAGGCAUUGUGGGGAAGCAGAUGCUUAUAUCAACAUUAACAGAAGUGCACCAACAGAGAAGAGGCAACCUAGGUUCAGCAGCAACUGUUCGAGAGAUAACAUUAACGAUGCGAACACUAGAACUCUGAAGGUCUACCACAGAUGAAAGUAUAGGGAUGGAUGUAAUUAGGAAGUAGUUUUCCUUGGUUUUUUGUUUGUUAGAGUUAGGUUAAUUGUUUAUUUUUCUGUUUUAAAUUCUUUUAACCUUAUAUUGUA